GAGUUUGAUCGUGGCUCAGGACGAACGCUGGCGGCGUGCUUAACACAUGCAAGUCGAACGGAGCACCCCUGAAGGAGUUUUCGGACAACGGAAGGGAAUGCUUAGUGGCGGACUGGUGAGUAACGCGUGAGGAACCUGCCUUUCAGAGGGGGACAACAGUUGGAAACGACUGCUAAUACCGCAUGACACAUAUUGACCGCAUGGUUGGUAUGUCAAAGAUUUAUCGCUGAAAGAUGGCCUCGCGUCUGAUUAGCUUGUUGGUGAGGUAACGGCCCACCAAGGCGACGAUCAGUAGCCGGACUGAGAGGUUGACCGGCCACAUUGGGACUGAGAUACGGCCCAGACUCCUACGGGAGGCAGCAGUGGGGAAUAUUGGGCAAUGGACGCAAGUCUGACCCAGCAACGCCGCGUGAAGG
rnacentral:rRNA from 1 species